GAUGAACGCUGGCGGCGUGCCUAAUACAUGCAAGUCGAGCGAACGGACGAGAAGCUUGCUUCUCUGAUGUUAGCGGCGGACGGGUGAGUAACACGUGGAUAACCUACCUAUAAGACUGGGAUAACUUCGGGAAACCGGAGCUAAUACCGGAUAAUAUUUUGAACCGCAUGGUUCAAAAGUAAAAGACGGUCUUUCUGUCACUUAUAGAUGGAUCCGCGCUGCAUUAGCUAGUUGGUAAGGUAACGGCUUACCAAGGCAACGAUGCAUAGCCGACCUGAGAGGGUGAUAGGCCACACGGGAACGGAGACACGGUCCAGACGCCUACGGGAGGCAGCAGUAGGGAAUCUUCCGCAAAGGGCGAAAGCAUGACGGAGCAACGCCGAGUGAGUGAUGAAGGUCUUCGGAUCGUAAAACUCUGUUAUUAGGGAAGAACAGAUGUGUAAGUAACUGUGCACAUCGUGACGGUACCGAAUCAGAAAGCCACGGCUAACUACGUG
rnacentral:rRNA from 1 species